rnacentral:rRNA from 1 species
UACAGAGGCCCCAAGCGUUACUGAGAAUCACUGGGUUUAAAGGGUGCGUAGGCGGGUCUUUAAGUCAGGGGUGAAAUCCUGGAGCUCAACUCCAGAACUGCCUUUGAUACUGAGGAUCUUGAGUUCGGGAGAGGUGAGUGGAACUGCGAGUGUAGAGGUGAAAUUCGUAGAUAUUCGCAAGAACACCAGUGGCGAAGGCGGCUCACUGGCCCGAUACUGACGCUGAGGCACGAAAGCGUGGGGAGCAAACAGG